GAUGAAGAACGUAGCGAAAUGCGAUACUUGGUGUGAAUUGCAGAAUCCCGUGAACCAUCGAGUCUUUGAACGCAAGUUGCGCCCGAAGCCUCGGCUAAGGGCACGUCUGCCUGGGCGUCACGCAUCGCGUCUCCCCCAAACCGCCAAGGCGGAGGGGAAGGAAGAUGGCUUCCCGUGCCUCACCCGGCGCGGUUGGCCUAAAUUUGGAGCCCGCGGCACUUAGCUCUCGCGGCGAUAGGUGGUGAACAAGGCCUUGGCCGUGCAAACAACCCGCUGCGAAGCUCUAUGUCACGUGCGCUCGUCGGACCCUUUGAAGUUGCCUUCGGCGACUUAAAACCUUUGCGACCCCAGGUCAGGCGGGGCUACCCGCUGAAUUUAAGCAUAUCAAUAAGCGGAGGA
rnacentral:misc_RNA from 1 species